AGAAUCAACGCUGGCGGCGUGCCUAACACAUGCAAGUCGCACGAGAAAGGGGAGCAAUCCCUGAGUAAAGUGGCGCACGGGUGAGUAACACGUGAAUAAUCUACCUCCGAGUGGGGAAUAACUGAGAGAAAUCUUAGCUAAUACCGCAUAACACUUACGAGUCAAAGCAGCAAUGCGCUUGGAGAGGAGUUCGCGGCCGAUUAGUUAGUUGGCGGGGUAAUGGCCCACCAAGACGAUGAUCGGUAUCCGGCCUGAGAGGGCGCACGGACACACUGGGAACUGAAACACGGUCCAGACUCCUACGGGAGGCAGCAGUGGGGAAUUUUGCGCAAUGGGGGAAACCCUGACGCAGCAACGCCGCGUGGAGGAUGAAGCCCCUUGGGGUGUAAACUCCUUUCGAUCGGGAAGAUAAUGACGGUACCGAUAUAAGAAGCCCCGGCUAACUUCGUGCCAGCAGCCGC
rnacentral:rRNA from 1 species